AAUGAACGUUGGCAGCGUGGAUUAGGCAUGCAAGUCGAGCGACAAGUUCUCCUUCGGGGGAAUGGAGGAGCGGCUAACGGGGUAGUAAGGCAUCGGAACGUACCCUUUCGUCUGGGAUAGCCACGGGAAACUGUGAGUAAUACCGGAUAAUCUCUUCGGAGCAAAGGUCCGCCGCGUAAGGAGCGGCCGAUGUGAGACUAGGUAGUUGGUGGGGUAAUGGCCUACCAAGCCCAAGAUCUCUAGGGGGUGUGAGAGCAUGGCCCCCACCACUGGAACUGAGACACUGUCCAGACACCUACGGGUGGCUGCAGUCGAGAAUCUUCGGCAAUGGGCGCAAGCCUGACCGAGCGACGCUGCGUGCGGGAUGAAGGCCCUUGGGUUGUAAACCGCUGUCAGGGGGGAUGAAAGCUUCGGCUUGACAGAGCCCCAGAGGAAGCGCGGGCUAAGUUCG
rnacentral:rRNA from 1 species